AGUAUACGGCCAUACUAUGUGGAAAUAUUGGACUAAUAAUGAGACUUGGAGCACGGUCCUUGCAAAAUAUUUAAGUCUAUCCUCAAGUAGAGUAAAAGCACAAGUAAAAUAGAAAUAGUGAAACUGAGAAAUGCUUAAUUUCUUUUUAGCCUGGCUACAAUGGAUACAUCGCUUCUUACAACACGCAAUACUAUGAAACACAAGGUAAGACCAGCCGACUCGUUAAAGAGAAAAACAUGGGCACGGCUCCGACUAAUUACAACAACUAACUAUGCAGCUAAGAUACAUAUAACGUCAUUUUGUAAUUUUUAUCAACAGCAGUAUCAUCAAUAACACUGUAACUAAUAAGCAUGCUUUAAAAUGAAUAGGUUUCAUCAGUCAUAAUGUGCUUUAACAUUUGAUCUGAUAUGACCUUUCGUUGGAAAAAAAAACUUGGUAAGCAUUUGGCUGCCUACUUUUAGUUUUCUUUAUUUCUCCUGUCUCUCCUUUCUCUUCUUGUUUGUGUGUACUGUGUGUACCCAGAGGAGCACUGUGUACAUUGCAACAAUUGAGUUGGGUGGGAUAAACCAUUUUGUGGGUGUAGGUAGUCCUCAGACUUUAAUUAAAGCACCUUGAACUUUCACCACAGAAUAUAUUUCAUGACAUCACUUUUUAUUACUGACAUAUUUAAAUAAAAGAACAAUAUUUCUGAACGUUACAAAUGCCCAGGUGCCCCUCGUGCUUGAGGCCUGGAAUUUUCGGGGCAAAUUGCAACCAAUAACUUAGGGGAGCCCUGCAGUAGCAUUGAUUGCAAAAAAUCAUUUUCGUUCAUCGUCGUUCAACCCCAAGUGUGAAUUGCGAGAUCAUCAGGUGUGCUGCCAGAAAAUUAUCCGGUUUUGCUGAAGUGGUCCCAACAUUACGAAUAAUGUAUCUUUGUAUCUUUCAUCUACAGCAUCUAUGCCAGUGAAGCAUAGUGACGGCUCAGAACAAUUAAAUGCUCUAAGUUGGCAAUUAAACUGUGUAUGUGACUUUUUUAUUUAUUUAUUUUAUUUAUUUUUUAAUUAGUGGUGCGCAGUGAGAUUUUUGUAAUGUGAAAAAGGUGCCUUGGCUCAAUAAAUAUGAGGAAACACUGCUGUACGGGGACAAUCUUCUAAUUGGUUACUUUCAUCUGUAUGGUGUUAAUGCAAGGACCUCAAACAGGCAAAUACAGUUAGGUCACAAAUUAGCUUCCUUUGCUCUUAUUUGGAUGCAGCCCCCUCCCACAGCGGGGACGCACAUCUCGAGAGGCAUGUUGUGGGGGCUUCACAGUCUCGUCGAGCGCAUUGUGCUCGGCAUCUUGCUGUGGUGAUGUGUUGGGCUGAGUGGGUGACAUGCUGGCGUCCCCCUCGCCACGGCCGCUCACUUGUCCACCGAGCUAUGCGAGUUGUGUGAGUGGGAGCGAGCCACGCCGGACAUGUAAAGCCUGCUAUGGAGGAGCUGUUGGGUCAAAAUGAGCGCGAGCACUGAAAAUGUCAGCAACUUGUGGGAAAAUGGGACCUCCGAGGGGAACCGCGAAGUGGACCUCAGGCGGGCCAUCCCGCUCGGAAUGGCGCUGGGGGCUUUCAUCACGUUCGCCAUCGCGGGCAACAUCCUCGUCAUCCUCUCGGUGGUGUGCAACAGGCACCUGCGCACCCCCACCAACUACUUCAUCAUCAACUUGGCCAUCGCCGACCUGCUGCUGGGCACCACGGUGCUGCCGGUGUCGGCCACCCUGGAGAUCCUCGACCGCUGGGUGUUCGGCAGGAUCUUUUGCGACAUCUGGGCGGCAGUGGACGUGCUGUGUUGCACCGCGUCCAUCAUGAGCCUGUGCGUCAUCUCCAUCGACCGCUACAUCGGCGUGAGUCACCCGCUCCGCUACCCCGGCAUCGUGACGGAGAAGCGGGCUCUGCUGGCCAUGCUCGGGGUGUGGCUGCUGUCCGUGGUCAUCUCCAUCGGACCCCUGCUCGGCUGGAAGCAGCCGCCGUCGCCGGACGACGCCGUGUGCGCCAUCACCGAGGAGCCCUUUUACGCGCUCUUCUCCUCGCUCGGCUCCUUCUACAUUCCUCUGGCCGUCAUCCUGGCCAUGUACUGCCGGGUGUAUAUCGUGGCCAAACGCACCACCAAGAACCUGGAGGCCGGCGUCAUGCGCGAGAGGAUGAACUCCGGCGAGCUGACCCUGAGGGUCCACAAGGGCGCUCAGGCUCAGGCGCACGACGGUUGCGGGGGUGGCGCGGGCAAGGGCCGCGGGCACCAGGCCAGAAGCUCCCUCGCGGUCAAACUGCUCAAGUUCUCCCGGGAGAAGAAGGCGGCGAAGACUUUGGGAGUUGUGGUGGGAAUGUUUACACUUUGUUGGCUGCCCUUCUUCCUCGCCCUGCCCAUUGGCUCUUUCAAUGUGAAUCUACGCCCACCUGAUCUCCUCUUCAAGGUGAUCUUCUGGUUGGGCUACUUCAACAGCUGCAUGAAUCCCAUCAUCUACCCUUGCUAUAACCGCGAGUUCAAACUGGCCUUCAUUCGCAUCCUGCGGUGCCAGUGCCAUCAGCGCAAACGCCCCGGGUGGAGUUCAUAUAAUUACCGUUCCUCCACAUUCAGCUACUCUGGGCAUUCCCGCAAAGGCUCCAAUGACCACACCCCCGGUUGCUUGAACGGCAGUCAGCGUACACCGCCGUCCUCGGCCAGCCCGAGCCCUAGCUACCUCAGCAAGGGUCUACCGCCGUGCACUGAGGGCGAGGCAUUGCACACCUGGUCGACAACUCCCUCCACACCCAACAUAUUGCCUGGCAGCCACACAGACUGCCAGCAGGGUUGUGUCAUCACAGCUUUUAAGGGAGGGGAAGCGGGGCAUGAGUUGACUGCUGGUGCAGUUUUUUCUUUCUCCUUUGGGAAGGAAAAAGACAAGGCAGUGGUUGGAAAAGAACCACUUUACAAUGUGUGACUGCAUCCACUAUGACCUGCUGAGCAGGGAGCCCAUUCUCAUCUUGAGGCGUCGCACAACGUCGUCUCUCCUCUGUUUCCAUGCUUGCGCAUCCCAUCGAGGAGAAGAGGAGAUUGCCAGAGGAGCAAAGCGGGAGGAGGUAGAAAUGUUUGGGGGGAAAAGAGACGAUCUUUUCUCACUGACGUUAUUUCACAGCGACCUCUAACUAAAGAUGACGUCAUGUCAUUGACGAGUGUCCCAAAUGAACCGUCAUCUCCCCAAAUGUCCCCGUUAUCCUUUGUGUUCCUUCUGUUAUUAAAUUUAAUGUAAUCACAACUUUGCAUAUGCAAAGACAAUUGUGAAUCCCACGGAACCACAGUAAGGUUCACUGAUCUAUGCUAUCUUGGCUAGCUCGUCUAUGAUGU